AACAAAUAUUAAAGGCAACGCCUGCCCAGUGAACAAUUAAACGGCCGCGGUACCCUAACCGUGCAAAGGUAGCAAAAUCAUUUGUCUAUUAAUUGUAGACCUGUAUGAAAGGCAAAAUGAGGGUUUAACUGUCUCUUAUGAUAAAUCUAUUAAACUGAUCUCCCAUUAAAAAAGCUGGGAUACUCCCACAAGACCAGAAGACCCUGUGAAGCUUUAAUUAAACUAUUAAACCUUAUAAUAACUACUUUAGGUUGGGGCGACCUUGGAAAUAAAAAGAACUUCCAAACUCUACACUUACCUCCUCUUUCAGGCCCACAAGCCACUUAACGACCCAGUAAUACUGAUAAAUGAACAAAGUUACUCCAGGGAUAACAGCGCUAUCUUCUUCAAGAGCCCAUAUCAAAAAGAAGGUUUACGACCUCGAUGUUGGAUCAGGACAUCCCAAUGGUGCAGCCGCUAUUAAAGGUUCGUUUGUUCAACGAUUAAUGUCCUACG
rnacentral:rRNA from 1 species